UGGACCAGAUAUCUAGGGCGCACGGCGGAUGCCUUGGCACAGGAAGUCGACGAAGGACGCGGCAAGCUGCGAUAAGCCCCGGGGAGUGGCAAACACACCUUGAUCCGGGGAUCUCCGAAUGGGGGAACCCAGCAGGGGUCAUGCCCUGCUACCCACGCCUGAAUCAACUAGGGCGCAGGGAGGCAACCGGGGGAACUGAAACAUCUAAGUACCCCGAGGAAGAGAAAUCAACCG
rnacentral:rRNA from 1 species